ACCUGGCACCUGGUAAGUUUCCAGAAAUGGUAGGUUUUCUUCUCACCUCAGCAUAAAUCCAGUGCGGAAGAGCCAGGUGCCAUCACCUGGUCCUGACAGUUUCUCUAGUUCAUGAACGUGAAACACGGAGAAUGACAUUUACCGCGUGAAUCCUCCCCCUUCCAGCUAGUGAGUGGGGGACCUUCCACUAUAGAACCGGAGAAUCAAACGCUCAGCCCCAGUUGCCUGGGUGCUUGAGAAUGUCUUCAUUUCUGUGGCGGCUCCUUUUGUAGGAUGUAGAAAGCCUUCAAAAGCCGGGGCUCCAGGAGAAAGGAGAGUCAGAGGGGAGAAGCAGGGACUGCAGCCAAACCCACCUUUACUUGCCUCGCUUCCCACAGCCGGUCUAUGGAGGCCCUGUUCCCCGGAGGCGUCCCCACCCCCGCCCCGGGCAGCUGUGGGAGGGAGUCACAUCACAGGUCCAAUAGCGCAGUGGUCCCCAGCGCGCUGCGAGUCAGGAGCCAAAGAAGCAGAGUAAGAAAGUAGAGUCCUGAUUUUAAAUCCCUCCCCAGUCUGUCAGCUUGGGCAAAUAGCUCUCCUCCAUGAAGCGGGAGGUUGUCAUUUGUAAAAUGUGACUAUGAGCGAUACCGCCGGGAGGGUCACGGGGAGGGUCAAUUGGGACGCGGCACACGCCGCGGUGGCGUGCGGAAACAGCUAGGUGCUGGCGGGGACCGGGCAUCGCAGCCUCCCGGGCAGUUAGGGCGGCCGCCUUCCCCCGCCUCCCCCCUGUCGGCCUCCCGCAGGGACCUGAUUGACCUCGCUGGCCACUCUCUGGCUUCCGCAAGGCCAGGGACACAGCCCCGUCUCUGCGUGUGUCAAGCGCCGGCGGUGAGAGCUCCCGGCCCGACUGGCGCGCGCGCCCAGCAGUGGCCAUGGUCCCGCCGAAGGCCCUUCGCGGCGCUGGCAGCUCAUCCCUCACCGAGUUGGGUCCGGCUUAGUCACAAGUGUUGCAACCCGGUUUCAGUUCUAAAAGGAUUACCCUGCAAAGAAAAGAGAACACAAGAUUUAAAAAGAACCCAAGUUGAUGUUUGUGUUUGUUGCCAUGGGACUAGGUUCAACUGUAUACAGAUGUAGUUGUUUUGUUUUUUUUAAUUAAAAAAACUUUCAAGCUGUGUGCUGCAAUAGACAAAGAUUACACCAUGUUUGUAUUGCAAUGUUGCUAUGGAAGUGCAUAUGGUUUUAUUUGGUGGAAAUUUGCAGAGAAAUCGAAGGAAGUCAUAUGUAUGAAUGACAAACAAACAUGAAGCUUCAGAAAACAGGCCUCCAAACAAAUAUUGUAAUUAAGAAGGCUCUUGACACUACCUUAAAAUCUGGACCAACAGGAGUCAUGGGUGCCACUUCACCUGCAUGGGCCCUACGCCAGGAGGCAGGGAAAUGGAGCCCGAGAAUCAAGGGUUUAACCAGUCUGCCACUUGCUGCCCAGGUGACCUUGAUGAGUUACUGGGCGAUGACUGACCUUUGCUUUCCAAUUUCUGAAACAGGGAGCUAUUCCCCCUGUUGUGCACUGAUAUUGCUGAGAGGAAAUAAUAUCAUACGUCAUGAGUCCCGUUCCUAGUAAGUGCUCAAUAAAAGGGUAGCCAUUCUUAUGGAGUGGUGACAGCAGUCCCAGUUACGCUCCAAGAGUGUAGUCUCAUUCAUCAAACUAUCUUUGGGGCCUUAAGCCCCAGGUACUUUCAGGUGUUGGUUUUGUGGAGAGUUAUCAUCAAACUGGAUGACUGUUGAAACAUAGACUUCAGAUGUCAAAGGAAUUGAAGAGGACGAGGUGCAGCAAGUUGGUGACACUCGCCAGGGGAGCACUGUGGCCUCUCAGCCUCUGGCUCUAAUCCCCAGGAACAGCUCCAGCCCCUCUGAGAAGACAGAGGACCCAUCUCCAGUGUCUUCACACCUACUAUCCACUCUGAACGAACACUUGAAGGGCUGGAUACUUAUUACAAUUGUAACAUUUUUAAAUCUUCAUAUAAAUCUUCGAGUAAAUUCCCAUAGAUUGAACUCUUCCAGGGAAGUAGAACUCCACAUACACUUUUUGUAUGGCUUGCACUUUGAAAGAUUCACAGACCGGUUGGAAUGCCGUCUGCCCCAGCCUCUCUCCCCUGCGCCCCUCUCCAAGACACACAGUAGAGGUUGGCAAACCACACUGAGAAUUUGUGCUACCUUUAAUCAGAUUCCUGGAUAUUUCUGGGCCUCUGUUUUCUGAUCUGGAAAAUGAAGAUGCUGGAUUAGGUGAUUUCUGAGAUCCUUCUAGACCUAUGUAUGUCAUUCAUCUAUUUUGAAUAGAAUACAAGAGGUCUCUUUCAGCACUCUAGACUGUUGAUGUUCUAACCUACAUUAAGAAACAAUGAGAAGUCUGUAUCCUCUCUCAAACUGGCAUUCUAGUUUUUCUUAGCCCCUUGAAGGGCCCUCAGAAAUCUAAAAUAUACCCGUUCGCUUAUGGUUUUCAUGGGCAUGCCUUUCCUCCUUGCCCCAAACCGGGACUCCACAUUGGCCAAAUGGUACUUCACCCUGCCAGGGCUGACUAAAUGGACUUUUGUCUUCGCAUCUGCUUGUUCAACACCUUCAUUAUGACUCAAGUCACUUUUUAAAAACUAAUAAAAUUGUGAAAAGGGGGAGGGGAACCUAACCAAUUUUGUUUUAAACUACAAACCAUAUAACUUUGUCACCAUUCUGUGUAUAAUUCAAUUGCAGUCUUUGUAAUCUGGCAAAAUUAAGGGAUAAAAAUUGAAUUUCAUUCAAUUUACAUAACAGAAUGGCCAAGGUGUGUGUUUAGACAGGAUGUGUGUGUAUAAAUCUCUUUUUAUAUGUGUUUCUUUUCUAGGACCCUAAACUUGAAAAAAAUGUCUGCCAUAAUGGUUAAUGGUACAGUCACCUUGUUAGUGUAAUAGGUAUUGCUUCUCACAUUAAGGACAUUAGCAUAUUUAGCUGGCUAAUGAUGUCUGUGCGUCUAAUGAUAGGAUUACUACUGACUUUCAAAGCCCAUCAUUUUCCCCCUUCUUUCUGCCACCCAACUAUUUUGAUCUUAGGUUACACGUAGACUGAGGCGUGGGAAUGAAAGUCAGCUCACCAUGGCUCUGCUCCCAGCUGUGCCGUGAACCAGCUGUGUGACCUUAGAAAAUCCUCCUACCCUUUCUGGACCUCGGUGUCCUCAUCUGGAGAGUGAACAACUCAGCCUUGGGCCAUCCCAUCCCUAAGAUUACCUUCUGACUAAUGGUCAAGGACUCUGCAAUCCUCAAGCCUGGAGAGGUUGUCUGCUGCCAGCUACUGUUGACUCCUGGAACUUCUUUUCACAUGAGACUAAUUCUCAGACACCCCAGCUCUGAAAUUCCUUGACCCUUGCACUUGAUGCUGUUCUCCCAGGAAUCAAGACUGAAGCUUUUGCUCAGACUGGGAUUCAAAUACCCCAGAGUCAAUUCCAGCCAGUUGAGCUUGGAGGCCCCUAUGAAAACCUUCCCAAUCCAUUCCUCGUCUCCAUUCUCUUCUCCAUAAAUAGAGAAGAUGUCUUCUGGGGUUCAUGCAACGAAACCUUCCAGGGCAAGGCUCAUGUGGGGAGAGGGAAUGCAAUGUGCCAAAGCAAGAAGUGCAGUAUUGUUCUGGCAAAACAGUCUGCCAAAGGGCAGAGUACAUCCUUUGCCUCCCCCUCUUCUGCUGGGCCCAGUGCAGGCCGCAUGUGGUGCUUGAACCACAAGAAUGCAGUCCUGUGUGCUGCCUCCCGAACCAAUCAGGGCAGUGGUGAUUGGUUCCACACGACUGUGCAGAUUGGUUCUGCUGCUUAACAGCUCGUAUCUGGAAAUAGAUGCUCCUGUCAUGGUCAGACUAGGGAUGCGAGUGAGGUUGGGGGCUGGUUUGACAGUUUGGGAAACACAAGUUGGACAGUGUGUCCAACUUUGCCUUGUUUGUACCUUGUUCCUGCCCUGUGUGUUAUGAUUCCUUUCCCAAACUGGCACUUUGUCCUGAGUCUUAGGGCACAAGAGAGCAAACAGGUGGAAUACAUUAGCUACAUCUCUUUUCUUAGACCCUUUGCUGAUAUUAGUUAAAGCUGCUUUGCUCUUUAUUUAGAAAUAGUUUUGACUCUGCUUUAAAAGUACCAUUUGCAAACCAGUGCUUUGUCAUGAUUCCUUGUGUUCAGGGAAUUAGAGUUGAGUUCUUGGCUGAGGGAAUGACACCUCAAGAAGCGUGUCUUGCCCCACUGGCAUGGCACAGUGGUUGAGCAUCAACCUAUGAACUGGAGAUCACAGUUCAAUUCCUGGUCAGGGUACAUGGCCGGGUUGCGGGCUCGAUCCCCAGUGUGGGGAGUGCAGGAGGCAGCCGAUCAAUGAUUUUCUCUCAUCAUUGAUGUUUCUAUCUCUCUCUCCCUCUUUCUUCCUCUCUGAAAUCAAUAAAAAUAUGUGUGUGGUGGUAUUGUUGUUUUUAAAGGAGCGUAUCUUACUGAGCUGUGGCUACAAAGAUGCUGACCAGAAAGGAAGGCUGCCCUCUCCUCACUCCAAUAGAACUUUCUACACAAAUAUCCACAAAGGCUUUUCAUCAUUAGCUACAGUGGGACAGUACUAAUUGAAUGAAAGGAUACAUGUAAAAGGCUGCGAAUAGUCCUUGAAAUAAUCACCUCGUCUCAACUCUCCAGUUCCUCUUCAUGAAGCAAGAAAGUAGUGAAAUUUAUAUCUGCUCGUUGGUCUGAAAAUAGGACAGACAUUGCCUUCCCCUCCUAUCUAUUCAAUCAUCUUUCUCUUCGAGCCAGUAAUACUUGUUUUCAAUUCCCUUCGGUGAAACCCUUAAAUCAUCUCUUCCACUAGGACUAUUUUUACUUUUUUUUAAAAAGGCCUUUCAAAUUCAUGCAGGAUUCUUACUCUGUGGUCACUGUAAUGACAGAUGCACCCAGUGGCAGGUGCUGGCCCCUUCCAAUUAGGGUAGGGAGGAGAGAGGGACGGGAUGGGGCCUGGGGGGCUGAGGGAGAAGGAGGAAAGAAAGUAACUUGCUGGUAAAAUGAAUCCCAGAAGCUCCAUGGGGCUGUGUGCUUCCCCCCUGUCUCCACUAGUGUGCCGAGUGCCUUGUCUAAGGUGGGCAGGGGAGUGAGAAUUCCCUGCAGAAUGUUCUGAAAGGCAGAGAGAGGUUCGCCCUGUCCACGUAGAAUCCCAGCGGUGGUAAGACCGCUUAGACCCAAACCUUGGCAUCAAGACAGCUGUGGUGUGUUCUAGGACAGAUCUGAAAGCCAGCUCCGAGGCCAUGUGGAUGGGCGUUUUGAACUGGAAGUUUCCUGGCAGUUUCAAUCCUCUAAAGCAUCUGGGGUCAGAAAGGAGGAAGACAGGGCCUCUGAUCUGUUCAUUUCAUUGCUCACUCGGCAGCUGGAGAAACGAGGUGAAUAACACGAAUGUGGAACCUUGCAGCGGGCCAUUUGUAUGCCCAGCCCACGCUCCAGAUGUCUCCCUGUGUUUAUUCUCUGAAUAUUUUUUUAAUAUAUUUUAUUGAUUUUUUUACAGAGAGGAAGGGAGAGAGAUAGUCAGAAACAUCAAUCAGCUGCCUCCUGCACACCCCCCACUGGGGAUGUGCCCGCAACCAAGGUACAUGCCCUUGACCAGAAUCGAACCUGGGACCCUUCAGUUCGCAGGCCGACGCUCUAUCCACUGAGCCAAACAGGUCAGGGCAAUUCUCUGGAUAUUUUGAUGCCUUUUUCCAACCUGGAAGAAGUACUUUAGUGGCAACUUUAUCUUUGGCAUCUGGUCCUAAGACACUUGGGUGUCUUCUCUUCCAAGGCUCGGCACUGCCCUUCUCACGGUGUGUACGGUGUGUGUGCCCUGCCCAAGGCCCUCCUGUCCAGACAGCUCCGUACACUGCAGGGGACACUUUCUUUCAGGUUCAACCCACACGGCGCUAUUCCCAGAAGACUUCCUCUCCCCUAUCACUUUGUGUUUAGAAAAUUCACUCUCUGCCAACUGUGGGCUACAAUAUUGAUAAUAAACGAGUAUUUAUUGGAUGCUUAUUACUGUCAGUCUGUAUUCUAGGUACUUUACGGGGAUUCACUCCCUUCAUCCACAUCACGACUCUCUGAUGUAGGUGUGGCUGUUGUCCCUGCAUACAGAUGAGAGAACUAAGGCACAGGGGUCUCUGCUGUCUGAGCAAGCCAGCCAUGCUCUGUGCGUUCAGACCCCUGCCGAAGGCGCCAGCGGCUCUCGGUGAAUAAUCUCUCCUUGUUCUCCUUAACUCCUCAUCUACUUUCACAUCCUGAGCAAAAAAAAUGUGUCCCUGGAUUCCUCCUGCCAGCUCCAUCUGUGAAGCAUGUGGGCCGAUGUUUGAAUAAGAAUGACUAAAGAGGAAAGCGGCUUUAUGAACUUCAGACUGUGAACUCAAGGAAGAGAGUGAGUCAGGCCUCCACAUUCCUGAAAUACCUUCAGGAGGCUCGGUGACCUCAGACAAUGAGGCAGAGCGCUCUGGCGUCCUUGGGAGGCCCCCCACAAGGAAGAAGGUGAGGGCAGGCGCUCCUCACCGGUUUCUGUGUGUGCUGUGUGGGGGUGAAGGAGACCUCUUGCCAGAAUGGCUCACGGUUGCCCACAGUGCCUCCUCGCUUUGCUCAGGCUGUUCCUUCUGCAGGCAAUGCCUUUCCUGAAGCCUUUGUCAGCUUGUCCUCCAAGGCUCAGCGGACACACCGUCUCCUCUGACUGCUUCAGGUCUGGCUCCGCAGGACUUGCACAUGCUGCUCUCACUCCCAAACUCCUGGCCCCGAGAGAAAAGUGCUUUCCACGUGUUCUGCCCAGUACACCACUAGGUACACCUUCUGAGGCUGCUAGCAGCUCCGAGGAGACAGUCCUGUCCUGGGAGGUGGGAGAUGUGGGUUCUCGCGCCAUGCAACCUCCCACACCUCACAUUCCU